rnacentral:rRNA from 1 species
AUUGAACGCUGGCGGCAGGCCUAACACAUGCAAGUCGAGCGGAUGAAGGGAGCUUGCUCCUGGAUUCAGCGGCGGACGGGUGAGUAAUGCCUAGGAAUCUGCCUGGUCGUGGGGGAUAACGUCCGGAAACGGGCGCUAAUACCGCAUACGUCCUGAGGGAGAAAGUGGGGGAUCUUCGGACCUCACGCUAUCAGAUGAGCCUAGGUCGGAUUAGCUAGUUGGUGGGGUAAAGGCCUACCAAGGCGACGAUCCGUAACUGGUCUGAGAGGAUGAUCAGUCACACUGGAACUGAGACACGGUCCAGACUCCUACGGGAGGCAGCAGUGGGGAAUAUUGGACAAUGGGCGAAAGCCUGAUCCAGCCAUGCCGCGUGUGUGAGGAAGGUCUUCGGAUUGUAAAGCACUUUAAGUUGGGAGGAAGGGCAGUAAGUUAAUACCUUGCUGUUUUGACGUUACCAACAGAAUAAGCACCGGCUAACUUCGUG